rnacentral:rRNA from 1 species
ACUGAACGCUGGCGGCAUGCCUUACACAUGCAAGUCGAACGGUAACGCGGGGCAACCUGGCGACGAGUGGCGAACGGGUGAGUAAUGCAUCGGAACGUGCCCGGUAGUGGGGGAUAACUGCUCGAAAGAGCAGCUAAUACCGCAUACGACCUGAGGGUGAAAGGGGGGGAUCGCAAGACCUCUCGCUAUCGGAGCGGCCGAUGUCGGAUUAGCUAGUUGGUGGGGUAAAAGCCCACCAAGGCGACGAUCCGUAGCUGGUCUGAGAGGACGACCAGCCACACUGGGACUGAGACACGGCCCAGACUCCUACGGGAGGCAGCAGUGGGGAAUUUUGGACAAUGGACGCAAGUCUGAUCCAGCCAUGCCGCGUGCGGGAAGAAGGCCUUCGGGUUGUAAACCGCUUUUGUCAGGGAAGAAAUCUUCUGAGUUAAUACCUCGGGAGGAUGACGGUACCUGAAGAAUAAGCACCGGCUAACUACGUGCCAGCCGCCGCGGUAACAC